UAGGGAAUCUUCGGCAAUGGACGAAAGUCUGACCGAGCAACGCCGCGUGAGUGAUGAAGGUUUUCGGAUCGUAAAACUCUGUUGCCAGGGAAGAAUGGUCGUGGGAGUAACUGCCCAUGGCAUGACGGUACCUGAGAAGAAAGCCCCGGCUAACUACGUGCCAGCAGCCGCGGUAAUACGUAGGGGGCAAGCGUUGUCCGGAAUUAUUGGGCGUAAAGCGCGCGCAGGCGGUUGCUUAAGUCUGGUGUAUAAACCAAGGGCUCAACCUUUGGACGCAUUGGAAACUGGGCGACUGGAGUGUAGGAGAGGAAAGUGGAAUUCCACGUGUAGCGGUGAAAUGCGUAGAGAUGUGGAGGAACACCAGUGGCGAAGGCGACUUUCUGGCCUAUAACUGACGCUGAGGCGCGAAAGCGUGGGGAGCAAACAGGAUUAGAUACCCGCGUAGUCC
rnacentral:rRNA from 1 species